AUUACAGGGUGUUCUAGAAAAAGAGCACUACAGGACCGCACUCAGUUCAGUGACCGAGACUUAGCUACCCUUAAGAAGUAUUGGGACAAUGGCAUGACCAGCCUGGGCUCUGUUUGUAGAGAGAAAAUUGAAGCUGUUGCAACUGAAUUAAAUGUUGACUGUGAAAUAGUUCGGACUUGGAUUGGGAAUCGAAGAAGGAAAUAUCGUUUAAUGGGGAUUGAAGUUCCACCUCCAAGAGGAGGCCCUGCUGAUUUCUCUGAGCAGCCUGAGUCUGGUUCUUUAUCUGCACUCACACCAGGAGAGGAAGCUGGGCCUGAAGUAGGAGAGGAU
rnacentral:lncRNA from 1 species